rnacentral:rRNA from 1 species
AGAGUUUGAACCUGGCUCAGGAUGAACGCUAGCGGCAGGCCUAACACAUGCAAGUCGAACGGUAACAGAUCUAGCUUGCUAGAUGCUGACGAGUGGCGCACGGGUGAGUAACGCGUAUGCAAUCUACCUAUAACUGAGGAAUAGCCCAGAGAAAUUUGGAUUAAUACCUCAUAAUAUUAUUAUUUGGCAUCAUUUAAUAAUUAAAACUCCGGUGGUUAUAGAUGAGCAUGCGUUCUAUUAGCUUGUUGGUGAGGUAAGAGCUCACCAAGGCAACGAUAGAUAGGGGGCCUGAAAGGGUGAUCCCCCACACUGGUACUGAGACACGGACCAGACUCCUACGGGAGGCAGCAGUGAGGAAUAUUGCACAAUGGAGGAAACUCUGAUGCAGCCAUGCCGCGUGCAGGAUGACGGCCCUAUGGGUUGUAAACUGCUUUUUUACAAGAAGAAACCUUGGUACGUGUACCAACUUGACGGUAUUGUAAGAAUAAGCACCGGCUAACUCCGUGCCAGCAGCCGCGGUAAUACGGAGGGUGCAAGCGUUAUCCGGAUUUAUUAGGUUUAAAGGGUUCGCAGGCGGAAUUUUAAGUCAGUGGUGAAAGCCUACAGCUCAACUGUAGAACUGCCAUUGAUACUGAUAUUCUUGAGUAUAGAUGAAGUGGGCGGAAUAUGUCAUGUAGCGGUGAAAUGCAUAGAUAUGACAUGGAACACCAAUUGCGAAGGCAGCUCACUAAACUAUUAC